rnacentral:rRNA from 1 species
CACGUAGGGGGCAAGCGUUGUCCGGAUUUAUUGGGCGUAAAGAGCGUGUAGGCGGCCAGACAGGUCCGUUGUGAAAACUCGAGGCUCAACCUCGAGACGCCGAUGGAAACCGUCUGGCUAGAGUCCGGAAGAGGAGAGUGGAAUUCCUGGUGUAGCGGUGAAAUGCGCAGAUAUCAGGAAGAACACCCGUGGCUAAGGCGGCUCUCUAGUACGGUACUGACGCUGAGACGCGAAAGCGUGGGGAGCGAACAGG